AGCGCCGGUAAGGUGAUAUGAACCGUUAUAGCCGGCGAUACCCGAAUGGGGAAACCCAGUGUGAUACGUCACACUAUCGUUAAGUGAAUACAUAGCUUGACGAAGCGAACCGGGGGAACUGAAACAUCUAAGUACCCCGAGGAAAAGAAAUCAACCGAGAUCCCCCCAGUAGCGGCGAGCGAACGGGGGCCAGCCCAGAACCUGAAUCAGCGGGUGUGUUAGUGGAAGCGUCUGGAAAGUCGCGCAGUAAAGGGUGAUAGCCCCGUACACAAAAAUGCACUGGCUGUGAGUUCGAUGAGUAGGGCGG
rnacentral:rRNA from 1 species